GCAGAUCCUCGGCACUGGUUUGGCACAAGACUUCCCGAGCAGGACAAGUAACCCACAAAAUGUAGCCAGUAUCCAGGGCUGCUCACAGCUUUGCUUCUUGUUAAGGAAGAUGAUGGUCUUAAAAUGGUUUUACCACAAGAAACUUCCCCUACAUGGAAUAUACCUGUUGCUUUCCCCUGAGGCCUCACACUGCCACUCUGAGGAGUAUAAUGAUAGAUCCAGAGGGUUUACCACAGAUCAUGGGGAGACAAUACAGAUUUGUUAAGAGACAAGCUUUCACGGCCAAAUGUGUCAUAAAUAUACCUAAUGAAGGGUCUUGAGAUGGCCAGGACAGUGCGGAUGAACCAUGUUGGCAUCUCUUCAGCCAGCUGAUGCCAGGCAUCUUUCUGCGAGGAGUUGCUCCAUUCAGGUACGGCCUGAUGACCUGCAUAUCGAUCCGUUGCUCCUGGUCGCCAAUGAUCACUGUUCGCCACAGACGACCUGACGAGUCUCUCUCCUCUUCGCUCUCACCUGGGAGACGCUUAGCAGUAGCCACAGCUCGUUGCCGUUGUUGAUGAACUCCAGUGAGUCAGUCUCAUCUGGAGUCUCGAUGUCAUCAACAUUGAUGUCCAGGUCGUCGGGCG